rnacentral:rRNA from 1 species
AAUGAUAGUCGGGCUGAAGACCUCUACUUGACUAGCUGAGAGGAGGUGCAUGGCCGUCGUCAGUUUCGUACUGUGAAGCAUCCUGUUAAGUCAGGCAACGAGCGAGACCCACGCCAACAGUUGCCAGCUCGUCCUCCGGGAUGGUGGGGACACUGUUGGGACCGCCUCUGCUAAAGAGGAGGAAGGAAUGGGCAACGGUAGGUCAGCAUGCCCCGAAUUAUCUGGGCUACACGCGGGCUACAAUGGGUGGGACAAUGGGUAUCGACACCGAAAGGUGAAGGCAAUCUCCUAAACCCAUCCUUAGUUCGGAUUGUGGGCUGCAACUCGCCCACAUGAAGCUGGAAUCUGUAGUAAUCGUGUUUCAAAAUAGCACGGUGAAUACGUCCCUGCUCCUU